rnacentral:misc_RNA from 1 species
AAGAAAGUCAGGUCAAAUUAGCUGAAGAUCGGCUUAGCAAAUCUGGAGUCCCUUGUCAGGUAGGGCUUGUAAUUGGGAAUAUAAGUGGGAAAUUAGAUCGAGGAUUCAUAUUCGAUUUAAUCCCAACACCGGUGAAUGACAAUGGUGAGCCGGCAUGUUCCAUAAUUGGUGAGGCUAAAGAUGAUCGGAAAAAGGCACCCAAAGGGAAGUCGCUCCCUAAUUCUUCCACAUUGUUCAUUGACAAAGAUUGGCUUGCUGAACACGCUCGUCAGGUUGGGAGAAUGCUAGUGGGUGGCGUGAAGGUGGUUGGCAUCUAUGUAUGGACCAAUGAGAGCUCAUUCAAAAAUUCAACCAUCACGCUUUGUCAGGCUGCAAAAUCAGUUGCUGAAGCGGCCCCUUUGUUGGAAGUGCAUUGGGAUGAAAGAUUGCUUGUGCACAUUGGUUACAGUCCCUUGAGGUGGACAUGUCGAAAUUGCUCGUUGGCUUCAAAUAUUACAUCUGGCAAUAUACGACCUUGCGAUUUCAAAAUGGGAAAAAUUCUGAGUACUCGUCAGGCAUUCCGAUGCACAUAUGACUUUGAUUGGAGGUUGCCCAUAUACCAGGGUUCAAGUAACAAAAAAUUGGUUGACAUUCUUCAUCAUGGGAUUUCAAUUCAUGCCCAAGAGCUUAAAGGUGCCAAAGCAUUGAUUGAUGGGAAACUGGCAAAUGAGGAUGAGCAAUUUGAUUUAGGUGGUGUACGUGUUGUUGAAUUUCUCCUACCUUUCAUGGAAGAUACGUAUUUGGAAGUAUGCAGCCAAAAAGAGAUUACAGGUCUUCUAGUCUUCAGUGGCUCUGUCUGCUCCUAUGCUUACUCAAAUUCGAAGGAACCAUCUUCUCAAGCUUUGGCUGACAUAAAGGAAGACAUAAUUAAGAGUCUAAGAAGCAGGUUAGAUAUCAUGUGUGAUGAGGCAGACAGGAAAUCAGAUUCUAAAGAGGACAGAACUGAAGAGAGCAACAACCAGAUAUUAAGUGGGAGUGCAGUUCUGCAACUUGAUUUACAGUUACAGAGAAAACAUUGCAGUAUGUCAUUUCCUCGAAGAGUAUUUUUACCUUGGCUGGCUGAUACAUUCCUCUGUGACUAUAUACAACCAUCUGAAUCAGUUGAGGUUCUCGUGGAUCAUUUUGCCGACCUUAUGUCUCUAGAGUUCCCCAGUAUUUCUUCAAUAAUCUUGGAGCCUGAAGCUGAAACUGAAGCUCCUGCAUUGGUAUCCACCACAAAAUCAUUUUGGGAGGUGUCAACCCCAUAUGCUCUACUACCUAAGUCAGACGAUCCACUCUCAAAUCAAAAUAGAGCUGCUACAAUCUUGACAAGUGACCAGAAAUCGACAAACACAGCUGGUUUUAACUUGAUGAUAGCUGUUCUAGUUCUUCUUGUAUCAGUUGUGGUAGGGUUUGUGGUAUUUUCUGUUAGGUCAUCAUCUUAAUUCUUAGGGAACAGGGAUGGUGCGAACAAAAAAUAUGUUCAGAUCAAAUCUGAUGAUACUAACUACUAAGGCUAUCAACUUCCCUUUCAUUUGAUACGCUUAAAUUACACCUCUAUUAAAGAAGUAUAAGCGAUUAUUGUCAAAUAAAGAAUUCAACUGUAGGUUGG